rnacentral:lncRNA from 1 species
AUGCGUAACAAACGAAAGCGGACGAGGAAGGGGGCCGGAAGGCAGGGCUUCCGGGAGUCGGACAUGCGGGAGGCCGUGCGGAUGGUCAUUAAGGACGGGGUCCCCCUAAGAAAGGUCCUCAAAAUGAAGAACGUCAAGCGGUCCACGCUCAAUCGCUACGUGAAGCUGGUCAAGGCAAACCCCUCGGCGAAGAUCCACAUGAACGCCCACCACGGUCAGAAGAUCCUGAAAUCGGACCGCCACGAGGAUGCUUUCAUCGAGCUCAUGAUUACGUGCUCCAGGUGGUUCCCGGGUCUGAACUUCCAGAACUUCCAGAAGCUAGCUCUCCGUCUGGGGUUGGAGCGCGGAGUGAAAUUUCCGAAGUCCUACAUGGAGGCCGGGAUGGCCGGGAGAUACUGGUUGGAGGGAUUCGUCGAGAAGACCCUCACGACCCUCUCUCAGCGCGCCACCGACUUCCCGACCCUCCUGGAGGGACUCCGCCUCACCAAACCCGGAAUGUCGACCGUUUUCAUGACUCUUCAUGCCGUCGCCAAGCGCUACCCACAGCUCCCCGAGGCCAAAAUCCUCAACCUCAAUGAAAUUCAGGUGACCUCGCCGGACGGGAUCCCUGUAACCUCGUGCCACAUCAUUUCCGCGGACGGGUCGACCCUGGCGCCUGUGCGGGUGUUCCCGAAGGACCACUUCAAGCCGCGCCCUGGGGACGAAGCCUGAACCUGGCCAACCCCCGCAAGGACACCCUCGACCCCGAGAUCUUCGCCGAGGUCAUCAAACACAUCGCCAAACUCACCAAGUCCUCCGUCGACGAACCGGCUUUGGUCGUCAUGGACGACAACGACUGGCACCUGUCGCUCGAGGCCAUCGAAGCGGCCAAGAACAAGGGCGUCGUCAUGCUCGCGGUGCCCGCCUACCUGAGCGCCCGGGUCCACGCCCUCGAGUCCCUUACAACCAGGUUCCUCGAGGUCUACAACGCGGCUGUCCGAGACUCCCUCCAGAGGGCGCUCACUGUCGAGAGUAUGACGCGUUUUCUUGAUGUUGCUGCCGAGGAGGUCUUCACGACGGAGGCGGUGCGGGAUGCGUUCGUGAUGUCGGAGCUGCAUCGGUUGACGAAGAACUGCGGGAGGCAGCGCGAAGUGGACCAGGAGACUGAAGCCGAUGGUGCGGUUGUUCUUUGGUUGGGUGGACGACAUGUCUGAUUGUGAGCAGGACCCUUUGAGCCCUGCUUCGUCUGGUGGAGAUGGGGAUGAUGCCGCCGGCUUGGACCUUAUGACGUUUCCAGAUGAUUUCUUUGCGUGAUUUUGUUACCGACCUUCUCUCGUUUUUUGGCUUAUUUAUGUCAUUCGUGGACACAGUUUAAGAAUUUUAAAUUCGUCACAAGAAAUAAGUCAAACAAGGCAUUUUAUUAAAUACACAAACUGAUUGCGGUAGACGCACUCGCUUGACAGUAUGUUGGAGUUUUCAGCCAACGUGCGUUAAAAAUUCAUCGUAAAGCUGAAAAUCUCAAUACAGAUGAAAUAAUUUUAAUCUGUACCUGUAUCUUUUAAGAAAAUCUCAAUACUUUGUCCCUCUGUAUUGAGGAAAAACUGUGCUCGAACGAGUUUUUUCCCUCUGUAUUGAGAUUUUCAGCUUUAUGCUGAUUUUUAUCAAAUACCUAGGCGAAUACUCUUUUGACAAUUUACGAAUUUUCGCCAAUUUAUGGGGAUGAGCUCACGAAUUUUCCGAAUUUUUGUAAAAUAACUCAUCAGACUUACGAACUCUUCUUGUUUCUUCCUCUUUGAAUGCGUCUUGAAUACUCAAAUGUUAAAAUUUCAAAAAAUUCUGCAUUUUAUGAUAUGGUGAAAAUUUCAAGAUACAUGUUCGUUCAGGAGCUGAAAUCGUUUGGAAUACUGUUGUAUGAUGCAUAUUUUGGAAGAGAAUUCCUUUUUAUGGAAGCAAUGAGUUAUUUGUCUAAAAUUAGUUUAAACCUAAGUAAGACUAUUUGACAAUUUGCCUAGGCAUUUGAAAAAAUGUCUGAUUUUACUAUCUGCCUGGACACAUCGAUAGGUCUUGGUGCAUAAGCACGGGUUGCUUCACGGUGUUAAAAACUGAGGAGUGAAAUUCGACGUAUGACUUACUGUGGAGUCAAUUUAGCGCCCGAAAAACCCGAGCGAUAUGAAUGCGAGGUGAAAUUCGCUACAUAAUAGUGUACGGCUCUUCCUAAAAAGCGUAGAAUUUUCUCCGUUUUUGUAAGUCAUUCUGCAAGAAGAGUAGGUCUGACCCCGCAUUCAUAUCACUCGAGUUCUAAGGGCGCUAAUCAGACUCUAACACCGAAUUUCACUCCAACAUUAUUGUCAACGCUUUUUUAAACAACCACAAAAUUCAUCGAUCAAUGUCUCUUUAAUUCACGUUCUGAUAAGAAAAUCCUCCUUCGUGUACAGUUGCAAUAAGUCAAACAUCAUCUGUGCCAAAUUCUUCCUUUCGAAAUAUUUUGUUUCUGCCAAACUGAUGGAUAUCUUUCUGUCUAAUUUUCUCGUACACUCUGGUUUUCUCGGUCUCGUACAAAACCGAAUUUAUAUGUGAGCAUCCGAAUUUCCGCCAGGCGUUUCUCUUCCGCACGGAAGCAUAGUAGCUAGUUAAAACGUCAUCAUUAAUGAUGCUUGCAGACAACAUUUUUUCACGGGCAUAUUUCUUUUUAAUUCUAGAAUUAUUCAUCAUAGGUUGUACCCUCUUGUUUCUUAAUUUUUAUGUCGUUCCAAUGUACUUUAUUCAGAUUUUUUACCAUCCAUUCCUUGAACUGACGUUAUUUUUUAUUGAAAUGCUUCUGUUAUUUAUGUGUUUUUCUAAUAAAUGACCUAGCUUUUUGAAGAAAAUGAUGGUUUUGAUCUCUUAAAAAAAAAUUCUGUAAUUAAGGAGAGCAAUUCAUGCUAAUGCACUUGCACGGGUCUCUGCGCAUGAAUAAUUGCGACAGCGGGUGUUGCGGCCAACGUGAGUGUAGGUAUUUUCUAAAAAAUCAAAACAUAUAAUAAUUAAGAGAGAGAAAUGCGUCUCGCAAAUGUUGAUGACGGCGCAGAGAUACAACUAUUCGUGCGUGAUGGACGUCCGUGUUGUAUCUGCAAAAUUGAAGGCGCGCUGGCGCGAACUAGCAAUACUUCGAUCUAUGCUGCUAAUGAAAUGUCGCUCGGAUUCGUGGGAAAGGAGUAAAAACGAGGACUGGACACGUCUCUUCUAUCUUUGGUUGUGUUGACACUCGAUUCUUUUUUCAAAAAAUCGCCAUUGCAGUGGCAACCCUAUCAAGUUAAAAUUCGAGAAGAAGGGAUCUUAAAUUAUUCCUGUGAAAGAUUCAACGUUCAGAGCAAAGUUUCAUAACUUUUUUUACGUUCAAAAUAUUUUUCUUAGACUUUGAAUUUUUGACGGGAGAACAUCUCCAAUGAGUUGAAUUCAAAACUACACUCCCGGCUCAUUUUCCUCUCAAUUACGUCUUGUGACGUUUCUUAUAAACUCAGACUAAACGAUCAAAUAUCCAUGAUCAUUCAGAAAAUAACUGAACGUUGCCUAAAAUCCCAACUGCCUUCCUCAAGGCACGGAUACACGCUCAAAUUUCAAUCAAUUCCCGAUCAAAUGGUGAUUGGCGCGCACCAUCUACCAUCAAUUUUUUGCGGCCUGCAAAAAUUUGAUAGCAGAUGAUGGAACUAUGAAUCUCAUCCGUCAUCUGAUUUCCAUACAACCUAGAGUCCCUUUAUACCCAGAGUUAAGACAUCUCGACUAUCAGCUGGCCUGGGCUGGCCAUGGUGUCACAAAAGUGUGCACCCAAACGAACGAUAUUGAGGGAUAAGGAAUCCUGCGAUGUCUGUCAUCCAAAAACAACAACAUCAACAAAACCGAUCAAAUAAAAAUAAAAUGAGAUUGGUUUGUGAAUAAUUUUUUAAUCUAUUUUCAUUUUAGACCGAUGGAAAUAACAAUUUACUCUUGAUAAACCACAAUUAGGUAAUAUUUUCAUUAUUUCUUUUCACAUUCGAGCCACCGCCAUCUUGGUGCACUCUUUUGUGACUCCAUGAGCGAGAACCAAUCAGAAUUGGAUUUUUCUUUAGGCCACUUUCAACCCGACCAAAAUUGAGAUGUCGUAACCCUGGGUAUAAAUGGACUCUAACACAACCGUCCUUGUUGCGUGCUCAUUUCAAUCAACACGCUGUUGUAAUUAAUUUUAGAUAACUCUUGACCGCCAUUUUUGUCAUCAUUUUGAUCGGAAAUUGACGGAAAUUUAAGCGUGUAUCCAGGCCUUUAGAGUAACUGUUUGUCGAUUUUGCAGGUAUGCGUAUGCGCCUCCACUUCUCCAAGCCCCCACCGAACUACGAAUGCUCCGUCUGCGGACAGACGUAUUCUCUUCAGACGAGUCUGCAGAAGCAUAUGAAGUUACACACGGGUGAAACUACCUGCACGAUAUGCAACGGCGUGUACUCGAGCAUUGGGAACCUCAACAAACAUCUCCGUUUGACUCAUAACAUAACGAGGAUAUCCUGAAAUUCGCCCAUUGGCUGUUCUGCGCUUCCAUUCAAUACAGACGAGACGCGUUUGAUUGUUGCAAUGGACCACUAGAUAAG